rnacentral:rRNA from 1 species
CCUACGGGUGGCUGCAGUGGGGAAUAUUGGACAAUGGGCGAAAGCCUGAUCCAGCCAUGCCGCGUGUGUGAAGAAGGCCUUCGGGUUGUAAAGCACUUUCAGUGGGGAAGAAAGCCUUGGGGCUAAUACCCUCGAGGAAGGACAUCACCCACAGAAGAAGCACCGGCUAACUCCGUGCCAGCAGCCGCGGUAAUACGGAGGGUGCGAGCGUUAAUCGGAAUUACUGGGCGUAAAGCGCGCGUAGGCGGUCUGAUAAGCCGGUUGUGAAAGCCCCGGGCUCAACCUGGGAACGGCAUCCGGAACGGUCAGGCUAGAGUGCAGGAGAGGAAGGUAGAAUUCCCGGUGUAGCGGUGAAAUGCGUAGAGAUCGGGAGGAAUACCAGUGGCGAAGGCGGCCUUCUGGACUGACACUGACGCUGAGGUGCGAAAGCGUGGGUAGCAAACAGGAUUAGAUACCCGUGUAGUC